rnacentral:rRNA from 1 species
AACGAACGCUGGCGGCGCGCUUAACACAUGCAAGUCGAACGAGAAGGCGUAGCAAUACGCUUGUACAGUGGCGAACGGGUGAGUAAUACGUGGGCGACCUACCCUCGAGUGGGGAAUAACCCGCCGAAAGGCGGGCUAAUGCCGCGUACGCUUCCAUCUUUAUGGAGGUGGAAGGAAAGCCGUGCCGUGGGCACGGCGCUCAAGGAUGGGCUCACGUCCUAUCAGCUUGNGGUAGGGUAACGGCCUACCAAGGCUCCGACGGGUAGCUGGUCUGAGAGGACGAUCAGCCACACUGGCACUGCGACACGGGCCAGACUCCUACGGGAGGCAGCAGUGAGGAAUAUUGCGCAAUGGGCGAAAGCCUGACGCAGCGGCGCCGCA